GGAGGACGGCGCCCCCGUCUUCCCUCCACACAGGAGAGCGUGGAGCUCCGCGGAGCAAAUGAGACGCAGUCUGCACACUGUCCAGUUUUCUGAAACGGCAGGGUUUUCACAGGACUGUGCAAGUCAAGACGUAUAAACCUGCCAGCAGCCAGAAGCCCCCAUGCCAAGCACACCUGCCCAGGUAACUGCUCUGUUCGCUAGGUUUUCCCAACUUAGAACUGGAUCCGUGUGGCAGGGAAUCUUUUGUGCCUUCCUUCUUUCUCUCAGCUUUGUGAUCCACGUCGUCAUGGUUUGUUCUGCUUCACUGCUGUGGAAUGUUCCUAGUAUGUGAAUAUAAGAAAUACACAAUAUAUUCAUCCAUAUUCAUGAAAAUAAAUACUCAAACAAUAUACAAAAAAUACAAAUUUCAUUGUAUAAGCAUUUGUUUCAUCUCCUCUACCCCCAAGUGCACGGCUCAUUUCUGGAACAGCGCUAUUCAGGAGCUUUGCUACGUAUCUUGGGCAUCUCAGGGCACUUCCCGGCUGCCGUCCAGGGACUUGCUGGAACUCGGGUGGCAUCCACUCCAUGCCCAGGCAUGCGUCCCUAGGCUCUGCCUUCUCAGCAGCUCCAGGAUGGGCAGAGCUCAAGUGUCCGCCAGUCAGAGAGGUGGGUGACUAUGUGUCGCGUGGUUUCCAUGUCAUUUCUCUGACUCGGUAACCAGGUUGGAUGCCACCUUGUGCAUUUCUGUCAUUUGCGUCUCCUCCUCCGAAGUUCCGGCUCAAAUGUUUUGCCCAUUUUUUCUCAGCUGUCGGUCUUUUCUUAAAGAUUUGUUGGGAGUCUUUGUUACUGCCCGUGAGGUCUUUGCGGGGUACACAUCCUUGAACUUCUCUUGAGACUCUCGCUUGUCCUGUCUUUAUCAAGGGAUGUUCUUGAUUUGAAUGUAGUGGAAGUGAUAAACCUUCUACUUUGCAGAGUCAGUAUUUCAAAAUCUGUCUACUCUGAGAUCCUGAAAAUGUUCCGUUCUCAUCGAAAACCUUUGUAGUUAUCACUUAAGUACAAAGGAUUUAAUCUCUCUGUAGGUCUAAUUUCAUUUCUUCUAAUACGGAUCCAGUUGUGCUGCAUCCUUGCUUUUUCAUUCGAAAUAUCUUCAGAUCUUUCUAUAUCUGCACAUACACAGCCCCAACUCAAGGAUAAACCCUAACUUGAAGGAUAUUUAGGAUGUUAAUUUUUUUUUCUAUUCCAGUGUUUCAAAGAAUCAUUUUACACUGGAUUUUUACACACACACUUAAGCAUAUUCAUCAAGGAAUUUCACAGGAGUAGGCCUGGUGAGUUAAAAUCAUGUACUUUUUAAAUUUCCUUCGAUAUUGGGCUUUCGGUCUUACUUUAAAAAUUAAUUCCCUGUCAAAAUUAUUAUAAAUUCCCCCAAGUUUUCUUCUAGUACUUAUCAAAGCCCAUUAUACGUGUAAGUCUUUGAGCCAUCUGGAUUUUAUUUUGGGGUAAGGCGUUUGGGAGAGAUCCAGCUAUAUAUUUUCCAAAUGUCUGGCCAGUUGUCCCCAAAUCAUUAUUGAAUAAUACAUCUUUCCCCGCUGAUUUUAAAUGUCAUCAUUAUCAUAUACUAAAUACCCAUAUGCAUUCGGGUCUAUUUCUAGGCUUUCUAUUCCUUUCUCUCCACCCGCCUGUCUGCUCAUGAGCACAGCCACUCAGUGUAAACACCCCGUCGCACGGAGCACCAGGCGUGGGAUUUGGCCAGCAGCCGCACCAACCGCCCUGCUUCACGACCUUCCCGUGAUUUCUCAACCUGAACUUUCAAACGAGUUUGCUCAGUUUCAAAAGGCACUUUGUUAAUGCUUUGUUGUGCUCACUUAAACCUAAGGGUUAACCCGGAGAGCAGUGACAAGCUGCCGCAUUAAACCGCCUACCCAGGAACACGGUCUUCCCGACGAUCCGCUCCGCAGCCGCAGCGCGGAGCCCAGACUUGCGGCGUAGGUACCUUUCCCGUUGCCUCCACGCCCUCCUCCCUCGGCUGCCCUCCAGGGCCACGGACGCCGGCCUCCAGGCUUCCUUGCGGUGUUUGUUUAGUCAGGGCAGCCAGCUAUAAAUUCUCUCAAUUUUUUGCUGGACCGAUACUGUCAUUAUUUCCCUGUCCUUUUAGAAAGGUACUUUCCCGGGUAUGGAGGUCUAGCUUGGCAGGUACUUUCAGCAGAGACAUCCCUCUAGCCAUUCUCUUCUGGCCUCCCCCAACUCUGUCACCCGGCCGUCACCUGCAUAAGGAGCCACGCUCAACGCAAGGGCCGAGAACACUCUCGUGAGCCUCUGAAUGAGCUGGGGGUCAGCCAGGGGUGCCUGUGACCCUCCUCCUCCCACGGGGCCAGUGUCGGAGGGCAAAGAGGUCUGCAGCAUCAGGACCAGCCCCUCUGUGACCCCACCCUCGGCCAGCUGGGCAAAGCCAGCCAGCAGCUGAGUCCAGGGGUGGGGUGGGGGGGACUCCUGCAACGCAGGUUACCUGGCCGAGGGCAGGUGUGCAGGCAGAAGGGCGGCGUGGGGCCUUGCUGCAGUUUUCCCCACCGUCUUCUUAGAACCUUUGAGAUGAUGCAUCCUUUCCUGGCCUUUCUGGCCUUUUAAAAUUUGAACUUUCAACAAUUUCGCUACACUGUUUCCAGGCCGGGGAGGGGGCCGUCCUCCUGGCAUUCAUGUUCAAGCUUUUGCCUGACGUCUUGCACGCAGUUCCGAGGCCUGUCUCCACCUCUCCCGACGCGGCCUCUGCCCUCUCCGGUCCCUCCUCAAUCCCCGCAGUGCUCCCGCGCCUCCCUCUCCACCUGUUUCCACCCUCUUCCCUCUGGAUCUGGCCCCCUGACCUGCCUCACUAAUCCCCACUUGCGCUGGGUCUGAUCCACUAUUAAACCCACUGAUUUCAUUCCGAAAUGCGGUUUAUGCAGUUUUCAGGGCUCGCAUCUCCACGUGGCUCUUGUCUAUAGACUGUGCGUCUCUGAACCUCUCCACAUAUCCACGGCUGUUUCAAAUACCUGAGCCGUCGUGCCCUCGGUGUCUGAGGUGGAUGGUUUCUCUGCAUCUGUCUCCCCCGCCUGCCCGUUUCUGUCCUGUCACUUGACACGGAGGCAGUUUUGACACAACACUGAGGGAACACUGUGUGAAAACGGAAUAGGCGCUCAGCGCACACAGGGCUUUGGGCAGCCGGCGGUGCGGGGCAGCCUGUGGUGCGGGAACGACGAUGGCGCAGAGACAGCAGGUGGUGCGGGGCAGACGGCAGGAUGGAGCAGCCGGCGGCGCGGGGAGGAUGACCUGCGCCCGUCCCCAGCUGGGCUGACACCCUCUCCCCUGCUGUACUAACAGCCUUCCGAGGCACGGGCACUGCCUCAGAGCCUCGCUUGCCACAGGUCCCGCAUGCCCGCAGGCCCUGACAGCCACUCGUAAGCCCCCAGCAGCCGGCAAGCCUGCUCCUCAGCAGCCCUUUCGCUCCCGCCCUCCGCCCUCCACCCAGAGCAGCGCUUCCUGGUCCUCUUGCCGCGGUCCUGGUGCCGCCAGACUGGCUGUCUUCAGAACCCCCCAGUGUCUGCUGCCGGAGGGUUUCUGUACUUUUCCCAGCUGUUCUGAUAGUUUUAAGGUAGAAUCGGUCGGCUGGAAACUGGCUGCCACACUCCAAGGCAGAAGCCCCUCAGCAGGAUUCAAGGGAGUCUUCACUGACAGGGGCACAUCCUUUCCAUCGUUCCCAGAUGGCUUCACUUUGUCACAGAUGUUUCCUUCCACUGUGUCUGCUCUUGGUGGACGGCAUCUAGGAAAACCCCGGUUCUUCACAAACGGCGUGACCACUCACCCACUGGAUGCUGCCCGUCGUCCUCAGUGGGUUCACGGAGGUGGCCCAGGUCCCCAACCACCUCCCCCAGGAAUAAAGACCAUGCUUAGAUUUCUUCGUUUCGAAAUCUUCGCAGCUACGAAUCUUACCAUGUUAAGGAGCAGAUAUUGAGUUUUCUCAGUCUCUUUUUGGUAUCCUGCAAACAAGUAUACGUAUUUCCCCCUUCAAACUAAGACAAUGGAAGGUCAUGGUAACUUCUUACCACUGAAUUAUUCUUUUUUCUUGGAAUGAGCCCGACUGAUUCUGACCUAGCACUCUUUCAUGUGCGACUGGAUUAUGUUAGCAAUACCUUAUUUAGGGUUCGUCCAAGAAUGUCUGAGUGGACCUGUGCUAUGAAUUACUUGUCACGAGGGCUGUCUUUCACAGCUUUUUGCAUCAAUGCUGUCUUUGUAAUAGAGAAUUUAAAGGUUUUCUGGGUGUUGUGCUCCAAAGCUGUUGAAUUACCAUUGGAUCUAUUGAUUCUUCAGAAGUGACAGAAAGGUGGCAUUUUUAUAAACCAGGUCACUGUAAUAAUUUGCUCUGUACAGUUCAUCUCUUCUCAAAUGGCCUUAAGGCAAAGCAGCCCCUUCCCUGCACACAAAUAUUGACGGGUGGGUAGCGGAACCUCACACAGCCCUCCUGGUGAGAAGGUCUGUCUACAGCAGCUGGGUCCAGUGCCAGCGCCAUCCUCUUCCCGCUCCGUCAGCGAAGAUGGCCAGUGCAGCCGAAUGGACUGAGCACCCUGACAGCGCCUGUGUGCCAGCGCUGGGGCACAAAUGAUGCAAAACUACCCCUCCCCAGGGGAGGCAGACAGCUACAGGCGACCAUCACCACACGAUCAGGGAACAUCCAGAGAAAACCUGUAAAAACUUCGUAAUGCUCACCUAGAAUUUCUUUCUCUCUCCACAAUGCUACUCGUCCUUAACCUUCGGAGCCUGGACCGCUCUCUUUCCCCAGUGAGGCGGGAUCAGAUGCUCCACCUCUGAGUGGGAAGUAUUUUCCCGUCCCCAUCAUUCGGAUGUCCGCCUCCCCCAUCCCGGAACCCUCCAGGGGCGUUAAACCCCAGCCCCGAUCAGCUUCUAGUUUCAUAAACAAGGGCCUCUUCACAAGGUGGGCGCGAGUGAGUGAAUGAAGGAAUGGACGGGUUUUCCAGGCAACGAAGAGGGACUGUGAUGUCGAUGUUAGUUUCAGGCCCCAACCGUUUGCUGUUACAGGUGUUAAAGGUUCUAUUUGGGAAGAGAGUGGAUCAGGUGGGAACGUAUGUGCUGUAUAAAUUCAAGGGAGAAUUACAAUAACAACAUACUCGUGAAUGCAUAAAACUCGUCCAAGUGCAGGAAAAACACUAGAUAAAAAGAUAAACACUAAGUUGCUUCAGAUGGCAGCACCCUGGAUGCAUCUUGGCCUGUUACAAUGGGGACAAGAGAAGGAGCAGGGGUGCCCGGUGACCGAGGGCAGACGUGCACAAGGCCAAUACACAGAGUCGACCACCAGUCCUCAGACUGGACUGCCAGGCGAUGCUCCCGGGGGCAGGUACGUGCUCCCAGGCAGGCUGCCUGGGGACAGGGGGUGGCAUCUUCUGCUUUGACUGGAACCUCAAGUUGAUUGACUGUUUAAAACCACGUGUAUGCAUUACUUUGAUGAAGUUAACUGAGGGACGUUUAAAGCAGCAUAUCCCAUAAACAUAAAGUAAACACUGAGUCCACUCCCACCAGCUCUGUGGAGGCCGCUGUUGCUGACGCCAGCAAACAUCAAUUCGCCAGACAGUCCCGGGCAGGCAGGCCAUAAACCAUUUGCAGAACGGCUAACCACCACAUCAGCGACAGGUGCCACACCCCGGACACUGCCCCAAAUGUAUGUGUUCAGCAGCCUCCAGCAGACGCUCCCUAAGACCCAGUCACCUGCCAGCCACGUGCUGGACUCGGGCACACAGUCUCUGACCUCCUGGGUCUAGAGCAUGGUGCACCCAGGGUCACACGUGCGAGGCUGCCCGCCUGGGGACCUACGUCCAGAGCCUGAGCCCAGAUCCCCUCCCCUUUCUCCCGGUGGUCUCCCUGCGUGACGCAUCUGUGCAGUGACAGAAAGGACCCACAUAAAGCAAACGCAGAAUUUACCUCCUCCCUUCAUGCGGCAUCAGUUUAAGGAGCGGCCUCCAGAACUGCCAGAGACCUGGUAGUCCCCUCCCAGAUCGGGUCUUGUCGGGUUGGGCUGGGUUGCACGGAGUUGUUGCCAAGUGUUAGUUCCUGCUUUCCCCGCCCCUACCCUGUUUCCACCAAAUAGCCUGGGAGUAGCCAGUCUAGGGCGCAACUGGAAUUUUUGGCUCCAGUGAAAUAAAGCGUAUAAAAUCUCACAUAAAUUGUAAAACACCGUGCAUGUAUUGGGAGUAACUUGCAGCAUUUUUAUAGCUUUCUGUAUCUUGGGCAAACAUCCUUAAUAACAAAGUACAGAAUACUGUCACUCAACUGGACUGGGUUUAUUUACCUAAGACAGUUGUGCAUCGCAAUCUGCAAUUUCCUAAAUGGCAGAUGAGUCAUUUGCAUUGAUUUGCAUGUCCACAGAGAAGGCUCUUCUAUGCUAAUGAUGUUCCUGCCAACAAACCGCACAAGGACUAAUGAGGAGACUGAAUUCCUCCUCCACGGCUUCGGCUUGUUGCACAAAGCACAGCGGGCGUUUCGGUGAAGAUGCCAUGGAAUUUCAAGGGUGGGGAGGUUUCUUAGAAAUCAUCUGGCCCAGUGGUUCUCAACUGGGACUGCACUUUAGAAUCACUCAGGGAGCUUCGAAAAA
rnacentral:lncRNA from 1 species